CAGAGGUUACUGCUAUCGAGAUUCGACUAAGCCAUGCGAGUUGAAUGUUCUUCGUGAACAUGGCGGACUGCUCAGUAACACGUGGACAACCUACCCUUGGGUCCGGCAUAAUCCUGGGAAACUGGGAAUAAUUCCGGAUAGGUCACCGAUGCUGGAAUGCGCGGUGGCCGAAAGCUCCGGCGCCCGAGGAUGGGUCUGCGGCCUAUCAGGGUUGUAGUGGGUGUAACGUACCUACUAGCCUACGACGGGUACGGGUUGUGAGAGCAAGAGCCCGGAGAUGGAUUCUGAGACACGAAUCCAGGCCCUACGGGGUGCAGCAGGCGCGAAAACUUUACAAUGCGGGAAACCGUGAUAAGGGGAUCUCGAGUGCCAGCAUAUAAUGUUGGCUGUCCAGAUGCCUAAAAAGCAUCUGUUAGCAAGGGCCGGGCAAGACCGGUGCCAGCCGCCGCGGUAACACCGGCGGCCCGAGUGGUAACCGCUAUUAUUGGGUCUAAAGGGUCUGUAGCCGGCCAGGUAAGUCCCUUGGGAAAUCUGGCAGCUCAACUGUCAGGCUGCUAGGGGAUACUGUUUGGCUUGGGACCGGGAGAGGUGAGAGGUACCUUGGGGGUAGGGGUGAAAUCUUGUGAUCCUCGAGGGACCACCAGUGGCGAAGGCGUCUCACCAGAACGGGUCCGACGGUAAGGGACGAAAGCUAGGGGCACGAACCGGAUUAGAUACCCGGGUAGUCCUAGCCGUAAACGAUGCUCGCUAGGUGUCAGUCACGGUGCGACCGUGAUUGGUGCCGUAGGGAAGCCGUGAAGCGAGCCACCUGGGAAGUAUGGCCGCAAGGCUGAAACUUAAAGGAAUUGGCGGGGGAGCACUACAWCGGRUGGAGCCUGCGGUUUAAUUG
rnacentral:rRNA from 1 species